rnacentral:rRNA from 1 species
AGAGUUUGAUCCUGGCUCAGAUUGAACGCUGGCGGCAGGCCUAACACAUGCAAGUCGAACGGUAACAGGCGAGUGCUUGCACUUGCGCUGACGAGUGGCGGACGGGUGAGUAACGCGUAGGAAUCUACCUGGUAGUGGGGGAUAGCCCGGGGAAACUCGGAUUAAUACCGCAUACGCCCUACGGGGGAAAGCAGGGGCUCUUCGGACCUUGCGCUAUUGGAUGAGCCUGCGUUAGAUUAGCUAGUUGGUGGGGUAAAGGCCUACCAAGGCGACGAUCUAUAGCUGGUCUGAGAGGAUGAUCAGCCACACUGGGACUGAGACACGGCCCAGACUCCUACGGGAGGCAGCAGUGGGGAAUAUUGCGCAAUGGGCGAAAGCCUGACGCAGCCAUGCCGCGUGUGUGAAGAAGGCUCUAGGGUCGUAAAGCACUUUAAGUGGGGAGGAAGGCUACUUAGUUAAUACCUGAGUAGAUUGACGUUACCCACAGAAUAAGCACCCGCUAACUCCGUGCCAGCAGUCGCGGUAAUACGGAGGGUGCGAGCGUUAAUCGGAAUUACUGGGCGUAAAGCGCGCGUAGGCGGUUUUGUAAGCUGGGUGUGAAAGCCCCGGGCUCAACCUGGGAACUGCAUUCAGAACUGCAAGGCUAGAGUACAGUAGAGGGUGGUAGAAUUUCCUGUGUAGCGGUGAAAUGCGUAGAUAUAGGAAGGAAUACCAGUGGCGAAGGCGGCCACCUGGACUGAUACUGACGCUGAGGUGCGAAAGCGUGGGUAGCGAACAGGAUUAGAUACCCUGGUAGUCCACGCUGUAAACGAUGUCAACUAGCCGUAGGGAUCCUUGAGAUUUUUGUGGCGCAGCUAACGCACUAAGUUGACCGCCUGGGGAGUACGGCCGCAAGGUUAAAACUCAAAUGAAUUGACGGGGGCCCGCACAAGCGGUGGAGCAUGUGGUUUAAUUCGAUGCAACGCGAAGAACCUUACCUGGUCUUGACAUCCUCGGAAGC